rnacentral:rRNA from 1 species
UACAGAGGGUGCGAGCGUUGUCCGGAAUCACUGGGCGUAAAGGGCGCGUAGGUGGUUCGGUAAGUGUGUGGUGAAAGCCCGGGGCUCAACCCCGGGUCUGCCAUGCAAACUGCUGGACUUGAGCAUACUAGAGGCAGGUUGAAUUCCGGGUGUAGCGGUGGAAUGCGUAGAGAUCCGGAAGAACACCAGUGGCGAAGGCGGCCUGCUGGGGUAGUGCUGACACUGAGGCGCGACAGCGUGGGGAGCAAACAGG